ensembl:lncRNA
GGGGUGUUCCUGUCCAACAAGGUAUUCCUGUCCAACAAGGGGUGUGUUCCUGUCCAACAAGUGGGUAUUCCUGUCCAACAAGGUAUUCCUGUCCAACAAGGGGUGUGUUCCUGUCCAACAAGGUAUUCAUGUCCAACAAGGGGUGUGUUCCUGUCCAACAAGGUGUUCCUGUCCAACAAGGUAUUCCUGUCCAACAAGGGGUGUGUUCCUGUCCAACAAGUGGUGUGUUCCUGUCCAACAAGGGUGAUGUAAUCCUGUCCUAUAAGUAUUACAAUGGUGUUGUUACUGUAAAACAUGGGGGAUGUUCCUGUCCAACAAAGCAGGAUUUUCUGGUCAAUAAGGUGUUCCUGUCCAAAAAGGGGGUUGUUUCUCUCCAGCAAAGGGAACUGUUCCUGUCCAAUAAGUGGGGCUUGCCCGUCCAACAAGGGGAGUGUUCCUGUCCAAGAAGGGGAUAGUGCCUGUUCAACAAGUGUGGUAUUCCUUUCCAAACAAGAUGUCCCUGUCCAACAAGGGGAGUGUUCCUGUUCAACAAGGGGAGUGUUCCUGUCCAACAAUGGAGGUGUUCCUGUCCAACAAUGGAGGUGUUCCUGUACAAUAAGGGGAGGGUUACAAGGGGUGUGUUCCUGUCCAACAAGAGGGAUAUUCCGGUAACCCUAGGUGUAAAAUAGUAAAUAAUGGCUACAUCUCAGAAAGUUUGAAAUGAUCUAGAGGAGUAAAACAAGGAUGUCCACUAUCGACAUAUCUAUUUAUUAUUGCCAUCGAAAUGUUAGCUGGCAAAAUUAGAUCAAACAAUAAUAUUAAGGGAUUAAAAAUCUGUGGCUUAAAAACUAAGGUUUCAUUGUACGCUGAUGAUUUAUGUUUUCUUUCAAAACCACAAUUAGAAUCUCUCCAUGGCCUCAUAGAGGAUCUAGAUACGUUUGCUAUCCUCUCUGGAUUAUAACCAAAUUAUGAUGUGUACUAUAUUACAUAUUGGAUCACUAAAAAAUGCUCAUUUUACAUUACCGUGUAGUUCACCAAUUAAAUGGUCUGACGGAGAUGUAGACAUAUUCGGUAUACAAAUCCUAAAAGAAAGAAAUGAUCUCACUCCAAUACAUUUUUAUAGAAAGUUAGCAAAAAUAGAUAAGCUCUUGCUACCAUGGAAAGGAAAAUACCUUUCUAUUUGUGGAAAAAUCACCCUGAUUAACUCUUUAGUCAUAUCACAGUUUACCUAUUUGCUUAUGGUUUUGCCUACACCUAGUGACCUGCUUUUUAAAUUAUAUUAACAAAAAAUAUUCCAUUUUAUUUGGAAGGGCAAGACAGACAAAAUUAAAAGGGCCUAUUUGUAUAACGAAUAUGAUUUCGGAGUGCAGAAAUUAUUAAAUAUUAAAGCAUUAGACCUUUCACUAAAGGCAUCAGUCAUACAAAAGUUAUACUUAAAUCCAAACUGGUUCUCUAGUAAAUUGCUAAGAAUGUCUCAUCCUAUGUUCAAGAAGGGCCUUUUUCCUUUUAUUCAGAUUACAUUGGUAACUUUCGGUUGUUUGAAAAGGGAAUAAUCUCCAAAAUAUCAUUAUUUUUCAAACAAGCCUUAGAAAGUUGUUUGCAAUUUCAGUUUAAUCGACCUGAAAAGACAGAACAAAUAAUACAACAAAUAUUGUGGUUCAACUCAAAUAUACUAAUUGAUUUUUUUUAAAGUAUUUUUAGAAAUACAUUUUUAAAAAAGGUAUAAUUUUUGUGAAUGAUAUCAUAAAUAGGACUGGUGGAGUUAUGUCACACAUACAGCUAACACAGACAUGGAAAUGUCUGCUCUACCCAAAAUUACAACGAAUUAAUUGCAGCAUUACCACAAAAAUGGAAGAGGCAAGUAGAAGGGGAAAGAAGUAAGGAACGUGUAUGUCGGCCCUGUUUUAAAGAACAUAAAUAGUUAAAGAGAAGUGUGAUAAAUAAAAACAUAAACCAAAUUAAUUUAAGGACUAAAAAACUGACAGCUGUGCCAUAUAGAUUGCAAAGUAGUUGGGAAGAGAUUUUGGAUGUACCCAUUCCAUGGCACAUGGUUUAUGAAUUGAUACGCAAAACAACACUGGAUUCAAAACUUCUAACGUUUCAAUAUAAAUUACUAUACAAAAUUCUUGCAACCAAUCGAAUGUUAUAUAUAUGGGGAUACAAUCUUCCCAGCUCUGCAGAUUCUGCUGUGAGGAGGCAGAGUCAUUAGAUCAUUUAUUUUGGUACUCUCCAUAUGUAGCUCGUUUUUGGUCACAGGUCCAGGAAUGGCUGAAGAAUAGCAACAUUUGCCUAGAACUAACACUGCAGAUAGCAAUACAAGGUGAUUCGUCUCCCAUCUAUCUCUCAACUUCAUCAAUUUUGGAUUUCUACUUGCCAUAUAUUUUUCAACUGUGCUGUGAUGCUUCACAAACAAAUUGAACCUUUCUAUUCUCAU